GUAAUACCGGAUGCUCCGCUCCAUCGCAUGGUGGGGUGGGAAAUGCUUUUGCGGCAUGGGAUGGGGUCGCGUCCUAUCAGCUUGUUGGCGGGGUGAUGGCCCACCAAGGCGUUGACGGGUAGCCGGCCUGAGAGGGUGACCGGCCACAUUGGGACUGAGAUACGGCCCAGACUCCUACGGGAGGCAGCAGUGGGGAAUAUUGCACAAUGGGCGCAAGCCUGAUGCAGCGACGCCGCGUGCGGGAUGGAGGCCUUCGGGUUGUAAACCGCUUUUGUUCAAGGGCAAGGCACGGUUUCGGCCGUGUUGAGUGGAUUGUUCGAAUAAGCACCGGCUAACUACGUGCCAGCAGCCGCGGUAAUACGUAGGGUGCGAGCGUUAUCCGGAUUUAUUGGGCGUAAAGGGCUCGUAGGCGGUUCGUCGCGUCCGGUGUGAAAGUCCAUCGCCUAACGGUGGAUCUGCGCCGGGUACGGGCGGGCUGGAGUGCGGUAGGGGAGACUGGAAUUCCCGGUGUAACGGUGGAAUGUGUAGAUAUCGG
rnacentral:rRNA from 1 species